AGUCACUGACAUUAGAUACCCCCUGUAGUCCAGGGUGUAAACGCUGCAGACUUGGUGUUGGAAGUCCUUUGGGGGCAUUCAGUGCCGGAGAGAAGUUGUUAAGUCUGCUACUUGGGAGUACGUCCGCAAGGAUGAAACUUAAAGGAAUUGGCGGGGGAGCACCGCAACGGGAGGAGCGUGCGGUUUAAUUGGAUUCAACACCGUAAAACUCACCAGGGAAGACUGUUACAUGAAAGCCGAGAUGAAGACUCUGCUAGAUUUUCAG
rnacentral:rRNA from 1 species